UCCCUCCAGCCGGGCAAUAGCAUGGGCUUCCGGCAGUGUGACUGACGGACAUAACAGCCAAUCAUUGUUUGGCAGUGCCCAAGUUCUAGCCCUACGUCGCUACACGGGAGCCAAUAAAAUAUAUUUGAAACACUAUUUUUUUCCAUUUCCUCCUUCGCAGCACGGGAAAGGUAAUGGGCAGAUGCUUUAACCAAUCACAUUAAGAUGAUCUGCAGCCAGUCGCGAAGGGAAGUCAAGAAGCCAAACUUUAGGGAGAGUCCUGUGUCAACUCCUGGACAUCCAUCUGGACAUGCAUCAGGCCUCCAUAUAACCCUCUGAUUACCCCGUUCCCUAGGACUCAUGUAUCUAGACUUUCUGACAUCUGACUAAUAACUCUCUUGGACCAGUCACAGGGCUAAGAAUGCAGGGCUGCUAAUUAUCAAGAAUGUACUUUUUACUAUAAGAACUUUUCUUUCUUCUCUGGAACACUUCUGGGGUUUUGCCUAGCUCUGUUUCCAGUUUGUAUAUUCUAGAUGCUUGAAUAAAUCUUUAUCUUCAUUUCUAGCCAAAGCCUCCAGACUCUUUUCAAGUCUGUUCAACAUACCCACAAUCCUUUCUGUAAAGUGGACAAAGAGGACCAUCCCUAUUUUAUAGGUGAGGAGCUGAAACCAGAGAGAAAAGGGAAUUGUUCAUCAACGUCCAGCUUUCUUGGGACUAGGGCUGUGUCCAGGCAAAUGGUGCUCUCAGAACACCAUUGUGAGGUUUAACACUGAACUAUAUAAACGAAAAUGUUAUUUGAACUCCUCUGGCCCAUAACUGAUAAGGUCCUGUGCCAACUCCACUUGUAGCUAGAAGUAAACAAAGGAAAGAAAUAAACAUUGAACAUGUCCCACUUA